rnacentral:rRNA from 1 species
GGCAGCAGCUAAGAAUAUUCCGCAAUGGACGAAAGUCUGACGGAGCGACGCCGCGUGGAUGAUGAAGGCCGGAAGGUUGUAAAAUCCUUUUAUGACUGAGGAAUAAGUUCUCUGAGAGAAACGGAGGAUGGUGACUGUAGGUCAUGAAUAAGCAACGGCUAAUUACGUGCCAGCAGCCGCGGUAACACGUAAGUUGCGAGCGUUGUUCGGAAUUAUUGGGCGUAAAGGGUAUGUAGGCGGUUCUGCAAGUCUGGUGUGAAAUGCCGGGGCUCAACCCCGGAACUGCGUUGGAAACUGCAGGACUUGAAUCGCUGAGGGGCAGCCAGAAUUCCAGGUGUAGGGGUGAAAUCUGUAGAUAUCUGGAAGAAUACCAAUGGCGAAGGCAGGCUGCCAGCAGAUGAUUGACGCUGAGGUACGAAGGUGCGGGGAGCAAACAGGAUUAGAUACCCUGGUAGUCCGCACAGUCAACUAUGUACACUGGGUGUCCGCACAGAAGUGUGGGUGCCGAAGCAAACGCGAUAAGUGUACCGCCUGGGGAGUAUGCCCGCAAGGGUGAAACUCAAAGGAAUUGACGG